UGGGUUGCUCGAUAAGCAAAACAGGACUGAAGAAGUCAACCCCUGCCCGUUCAAAGCUACAUAAUAUGGCAAAAGAAAGAGAAGGCCUAGCGCAGGAGAUAUUAGAGAUAAAGAAAUCAUUGAUUGAUAUAAAGUCCUGGGUGGGUAUGCAUCAAGAGGCACAGUCUGGUCAAAACCUCCCAUCACCACCAGUGGCUAAAUCUACUCAGGGAUCAUCGCCGGAUACGAUAUAUAUUGGUAAGAAAUGCGAGUUGCUUGGUUGGGGCUUACGUGGUGUUGUUGCUCGUGGUCAAGUACACGAAGUUAGUCCAAAUGUAGUUGUCCAUUGUGAGCCAUUAGCAGAGGGAGCUUUUGUUGUUAUCCUAACUGAGAUUAUACACCCUGAUGCUCCUUUGUGGAAAGAAGAUGGAUUCGCAUCUACACUUGGAGAGGCCGGUCCGGGAUCACUUGUGCAAUGGGGGAAGCAAUCAAUGAGAUUCCUAUAAUUUGAACAAAUAUAGUACUAUAUAAUUGAACAUAUAGUAAUUUGGCUUAAGUGGGUUUUGGUUGGGGCUUACAUGAUGCUGUUUUUUGGCUUAAGUCGUUACUCUAUAUGAUGUUUGGCCUAAGUAGUUACUCUACAUGAUGUUUGGCUUUUUUUUUUUUUUUUUUGGUACUCUAUAGUUCAUCGAUAUUUAUAGUCUGCUUGAAUUUUGCACUAUAUAUUUGAAUAUAUUUAUAGUCUUAGGCUCCAUUUGGUCAUCACAUUGGUGUUUAUGAAUGUAAAUUUAUCUCAAACCAAAUGGAGCUUAAGCCCUUUUUUAACUCCGCCAAUGCAACUCCUUGCAUUGCCGGUCCCAAGCCCGGGUAAAGGAGGAGGGGGAAGGGCUUCAAGGUGAGUUUUAUCAUUAUUUUUUUUUUCAUUUUUUGAAGCUGUUAUAGCUUUUGAGUUUAUUUUUGCUUGCAGGCUGGCAGAUUUGCUCGCAUAUGUUGGCAUAUGGCCUUACAAUUCUUAGAGGCACUUGUUGUCCUCAUGCAUGAUAUGGGUCCAAACUGGGAGCUGAUAAGUGAUGCUAUCAACAGUACCCUGCAGUUCAAGGUGAAGUUGUAUUUGGAUCUUUUUCUUUGGUUAUACUAGGAGCACAGUAACUUAUAGUGAUCUAAGGGAGCUGGAGCAUUUUCUGAGUAUGGAGCACAGUAAUUUCAUAUUAUUUACGAAUUACUGGAAUAUGAAGGACAGCUUAUUAAAUGUGUUGACACGC